ensembl:ncRNA C54E4.6 ncRNA
AAAAACAUCGAGUUUGAGCCAAGUUACGACGGUUUAAAGUUGGUGGCCUAGAAAACCAAAUUUUGGAUUUCUAGGCCA